GUGAGUCUAGGACGCAAAACAAAGCCGACCGCGGUAGCAGCCAGGACUCGGACGCGGAAACCUUCGUGAGCCAAACAGCAGCAGCGGAACGUCUUCGAAGGAGGGUGGUGCAGGAGCGGGACGAGCAGCACCGCAACUUCCCGCCCACAAACACUCACGUCACGACGGCGCAGCUUCAGCCGAAUGAAUCUGGACAGUGAGCCAAAAAAAAA